rnacentral:lncRNA from 1 species
AAAAUCCUAAUUGGUUUUUUUCGCUGAAGUGAUUUAGGCUCCUAGAUCACGAUCCGCCACCACCACUCCUGUUAGAUCACGAUCCGUCACCACCACGCUUAUUAGAUCACGAACUGUCACCAAUGAUCUUCCAGGUUAUGACUCAGGUUCGAUCUGCACUUGACGUGUGGGCGCCUUUAUCACUACCAAAGCAACUAGCACGAGAAAAUUUUUCUCUCAACAAUAGAG